UACGUAGGUGGCGAGCGUUGUCCGGAUUUACUGGGCGUAAAGAGCGCGCAGGCGGUCGUACAAGUCGCGUGUGAAAGCCCCUGGCUCAACUGGGGAGGGUCACGCGAUACUGUUCGACUCGAAGGCAGGAGAGGGAAGUGGAAUUCCCGGUGUAGUGGUGAAAUGCGUAGAUAUCGGGAGGAACACCAGUGGCGAAGGCGGCUUCCUGGACCGACACUGACGCUGAGGCGCGAAAGCUAGGGGAGCAAACGGG
rnacentral:rRNA from 1 species